GCGCCCGUAGCUCAGCUGGAUAGAGCACGUGGCUACGAACUACGGUGUCGGAGGUUCGAAUCCUUCCGGGCGCGCCA
rnacentral:tRNA from 4 species